rnacentral:rRNA from 1 species
GUGGGGAAUCUUAGACAAUGGGCGCAAGCCUGAUCUAGCCAUGCCGCGUGAGCGAUGAAGGCCUUAGGGUUGUAAAGCUCUUUCGCUGGGGAAGAUAAUGACUGUACCCAGUAAAGAAGCCCCGGCUAACUCCGUGCCAGCAGCCGCGGUAAUACGGAGGGGGCUAGCGUUGUUCGGAAUUACUGGGCGUAAAGCGCGCGUAGGCGGAUUGGAAAGUUGGGGGUGAAAUCCCGGGGCUCAACCUCGGAACUGCCUUUGAAACUCCUGGUCUUGAGGUCGAGAGAGGUGAGUGGAAUUCCGAGUGUAGAGGUGAAAUUCGUAGAUAUUCGGAGGAACACCAGUGGCGAAGGCGGCUCACUGGCUCGAUACUGACGCUGAGGUGCGAAAGCGUGGGGAGCAAACAGGAUUAGAUACCCUUGUAGUCC